UCUUUGGAGGUGUCCACCAUAUAUAUAUCAUAUGAUGAGGUGGAUGUCCAGCGCCCUGUGGGCGGUGGUUCCUAUUCAUCUCCUACAUCAUCCCCAAAAGGUAACGGAGGCGUGCAAAGGUUUCCUCGGGCUAGACGGACAUUGGUCCUCGAGUGCAAAGGCAUAAGGGAGCUUGACUGCAAGACUCACCCAUCGAGCAGAGACGAAAGUCGGCCUUAGUGAUCCGACGGUGCCGAGUGGAAGGGUCGUCGCUCAACGGAUAAAAGUUACUCUAGGGAUAACAGGCUGAUCUUGCCCAAGAGUCCACAUCGACGGGAAGGUUUGGCACCUCAAUGUCGGCUCUUCGCCACCUGGAGCUGUAGGUGAUUCCAAGGGUAAAAUAAAUAAAAUAAAACUCGCUAUACCUGGCUCUGCAUAUUCAUGCAUUUA
rnacentral:ncRNA from 1 species